rnacentral:tRNA from 1 species
GUAAGUAUAGUUUAAAAAAAAAACAUUAGAUUGUGAAUCUAACAACAGAAGCCUAUAUCUUCUUAUUUACC